GAUGAACGCUGGCGGCGUGCCUAAUACAUGCAAGUCGAGCGAACAGACGAGGAGCUUGCUCCUCUGACGUUAGCGGCGGACGGGUGAGUAAAACGUGGAUAACCUACCUAUAAGACUGGGAUAACUUCGGGAAACCGGAGCUAAUACCGGAUAAUAUAUUGAACCGCAUGGUUCAAUAGUGAAAGACGGUUUUGCUGUCACUUAUAGAUGGAUCCGCGCCGCAUUAGCUAGUUGGUAAGGUAACGGCUUACCAAGGCAACGAUGCGUAGCCGAACUGAGAGGGUGAUCGGCCACACUGGAACUGAGACACGGUCCAGACUCCUACGGGAGGCAGCAGUAGGGAAUCUUCCGCAAUGGGCGAAAGCCUGACGGAGCAACGCCGCGUGAGUGAUGAAGGUCUUCGGAUCGUAAAACUCUGUUAUUAGGGAAGAACAAAUGUGUAAGUAACUAUGCACGUCUUGACGGUACCUAAUCAGAAAGCCACGGCUAACUACGUG
rnacentral:rRNA from 1 species